rnacentral:rRNA from 1 species
UACGUAGGGUGCAAGCGUUAAUCGGAAUUACUGGGCGUAAAGCGUGCGCAGGCGGUUUUGUAAGUCUGACGUGAAAGCCCCGGGCUCAACCUGGGAAUUGCGUUGGAGACUGCAAGGCUUGAAUCUGGCAGAGGGGGGUAGAAUUCCACGUGUAGCAGUGAAAUGCGUAGAGAUGUGGAGGAACACCGAUGGCGAAGGCAGCCACCUGGGUCAAGAUUGACGCUCAUGCACGAAAGCGUGGGGAGCAAACAGG